rnacentral:tRNA from 1 species
GCACACAGGAUAGCUCAGUUGGCAGAGCAUGAGGCUCUCAGGGUCAUGGGUUUGAGCCCCAUGUUGGGCA